rnacentral:rRNA from 1 species
GCACCACAACGGGUGGAGCUUGCGGUUUAAUCGGACUCAACGCCGGGAAACUCACCAGAUAAGACAGCUGAAUGAUAGUCGGGCUGAAGACUCUACUUGACUAGCUGAGAGGAGGUGCAUGGCCGUCGUCAGUUCGUACUGUGAAGCAUCCUGUUAAGUCAGGCAACGAGCGAGACCCACGCCAACAGUUGCCAGCUCGUCCUCCGGGAUGGUGGGGACACUGUUGGGACCGCCUCUGCUAAAGAGGAGGAAGGAAUGGGCAACGGUAGGUCAGCAUGCCCCGAAUUAUCUGGGCUACACGCGGGCUACAAUGGGUGGGACAAUGGGUAUCGACACCGAAAGGUGAAGGCAAUCUCCUAAACCCAUCCGUAGUUCGGAUUGUGGGCUGCAACUCGCCCACAUGAAGCUGGAAUCUGUAGUAAUCGUGUCUCAAAAUGGCACGGUGAAUAUGUCCCUGCUCCUU